rnacentral:ribozyme from 14 species
UUGAGUAACUCAGUAACAGCAACCAGGAAAGGCAAAUGGCAGUUUCCUGUAGAGAAAAGGUAAGAUUUGCAUGUGUCACCUUAAUUUUUAUUUUUUAAAAAAGGCAAAAAAAAAAAAAUGCACUAAAAAAAAAGUGUACAAUGCCUGCUACCUACCUUACAUAUAAGUACAACUGAGGUAGUUUUCUGGGACUUCAACUAUAAAGCAAAUCAGGCCAACUACUUACUUGAGUGGAAAAGUUUGGAAAAACAUUCUGUUUA